rnacentral:rRNA from 1 species
CUACGGGGGGCAGCAGUGGGGAAUAUUGCGCAAUGGGCGAAAGCCUGACGCAGCAACGCCGCGUGGGUGAAGAAGGCCUUCGGGUUGUAAAGCCCUGUCAGGAGGGAAGAACGACCGGCGUGAACCGCCGGGGAUGACGGUACCUCCAAAGGAAGCACUGGCUAACUCCGUGCCAGCAGCCGCGGUAAUACGGAGAGUGCGAGCGUUGUUCGGAAUUACUGGGCGUAAAGCGCGUGUAGGCGGCGCGGUAAGUCCGACGUGAAAGCCCGGGGCUCAACCCCGGAAGUGCGUUGGAAACUGCCAUGCUCGAGUACUGGAGGGGAAAGCGGAAUUCCGAGUGUAGAGGUGAAAUUCGUAGAUAUUCGGAGGAACCUCAGUGGCGAAGGCGGCUUUCUGGACAGAUACUGACGCUGAGACGCGAAAGCGUGGGGAGCAAACAGGAUUAGAUACCCCGGUAGUC